AUCAGUGGCGAACGGGUGAGUAACACGUGAGUAACCUGCCCUUGACUCUGGGAUAAGCACUGGAAACGGUGUCUAAUACCGGAUACGACCUUUGAAGGCAUCUUCUAAAGGUGGAAAGAAUUUCGGUCAAGGAUGGACUCGCGGCCUAUCAGCUGGUUGGUGAGGUAACGGCCCACCAAGGCGACGACGGGUAGCCGGCCUGAGAGGGUGACCCGCCACACUGGGACUGAGACACGGCCCAGACUCCUACGGGAGGCAGCAGUGGGGAAUAUUGCACAAUGGGCGCAAGCCUGAUGCAGCAACGCCGCGUGAGGGACGACGGCCUUCGGGUUGUAAACCUCUUUUAGUAGGGAAGAAGCGAAAGUGACGGUACCUGCAGAAAAAGCACCGGCUAACUACGUGCCAGCAGCCGCGGUAAUACGUAGGGUGCAAGCGUUAUCCGGAAUUAUUGGGCGUAAAGAGCUCGUAGGCGG
rnacentral:rRNA from 1 species